ensembl:lncRNA novel transcript, antisense to ELP4
GCUGAAGUGACUUCACAGAGGGAAGUAAGCAGUAAUUCAACUCAGCCUUAGAUAGAAAGCUUUUCUAUGAAUAAUGGGAAAUAAAGUUAAAGGAAAUGAUGCAAAUAAAGCAAGAAAAAAAUACUGAUGAUCAGAAAAAAGAAAAGUAUUUGAGGUCUGAAAGAUCCUCAAAAUAGAGAAGAGCCAAUGACUUCAUACACCGAAUCGGCUAAAUCCUGUCUCACAUUUUCACUGUAGCCAGAAGAGCCACUCUGGUCAAGUAGAAACCCUGAAGUUUGCCGUCAUUUCAUCCAGGGUCUGCAGGUAUGCAAUGGGAAUGUUCCUUUUGGCAUUUGCAAAAUUAGUGCUCCAAAAUGAAAUAGUGGAGGGAAUUGAUUUUGUAAUUGUUAUGCAGGGUUAUUUUCUAAGCUUUUUAGAUCUAAGUUAAAUGAAACAUACAUAUUUUUGAAUUUCCUUUAGAGGCCUUUAGUAUUAAAACCACAUAUAAGAAUUUCUUGAGAUACUCAGAGCAAAAGAAAGCAUGAUUUUUUUCAUCAAAUGAUUUCUAAAGUACAAUACUGACAAGUUUUGCUAUUUAAUAAAUGAUGAAAAAAUGAGUUUUUCCUUUAGAAAUAUAUCAAGUAGUGGCAUUUUUUCUUCUGUUUUUCAUUAAGAUAGCUUAUGUGCUAAAGGGAUAUUAGUUGCUCUAAAAUCAGUUUAAGCAAAUACAUCAAACAUUUACCCAAUCAAAUAUUUGUAAAUUACAGAGUAUAUUACAAACACUUAGUAGUUCUGUUUCUAAAUGAAAAAUUAUAACAGGCAUCUUCAAUUAUAUAUUUAUUUUCAUUAUAUAUUUAUUUUCAGGUAACACUAGUAUCUAUAGGUGUUUGCAUCCUAA